AUCUUUGCGGUUGGGGCAAUGACGCAGCUCGUGAGGUUCUAACCGAGGCGCGUCUAUUGCUGGUUGAAAACUAUUUCCAAAACCCCUCCUAGGUCUGGGUUCUAGUUAGGUCUUCGAGAAUUUCUGGAAGGGCUCCCGUUUUGGGUAAAGCC
rfam:Jatropha curcas cultivar GZQX0401 scaffold397_5, whole genome shotgun sequence.